GGAGGUGUUGCUGCGCUCAAAUCUGUCGUCGCCGUAGGACAGGAGGUCGGUAGCCGGACGGCGGGCGGCACUGCUGUAGGCCGAUACGUUCCGGGGAGGAGCCGACGGCGAGACAGGGGGGCGCGGGUGGAGGUGCUGCGUGCUGUGAGGAGGUGCGGGGAGAGGGGGGAUAAGACGACGGUGGCCGGAAUCAAGCCAACGGCGACGGAGACGUGUGGCUGCGGGUCGUUGGUGGGUGGCGAGGAGGUGAGAGGGGAAGAGAUGAACUGGAGGAGAUGGAGGGGAAGAUGUCGCGUGGCCGCGUGGGGAUGGAGGCGUGUGCUGUAACGAGGAGAGGAGGG
rnacentral:rRNA from 1 species